rnacentral:rRNA from 1 species
AUGCAUGAAGCGCGCCCUUUAGCCGUCCGCAAAUAUAUGGCAACUCAAGGCUAUAAGAGUCUUGAUAAGAAAGCCGGUAGGAGACUCCGUCUUGAGAAGGACAAGUACACGCAGGUUACUCCGAGAUGGUGCGUCGAUAAGGGGGAGUGUUGGGAGCGGAUCGUGGACUAUUGGUGUUCCAAAGAGUAUAGGGCGAAAAACAAAGAUUAUAGAAAUCGGCGAGGCGCAAUGCUGGAUCCACCACAUCAUCAAGGCAACUUGAACGUUAUGGAGUACGGUGAACGUUGGGCGUCUCACCAUAAUGCUCCACUGCCCAACCUUUUCGUCUUGUAUGCUUUGGCCCAUAAGGCACCGUACAGAACAGCCACGCCUUACGAUAAGAAUGACACAGCGUCCGCGUACUCCAGCAAGACCGCCUACGAUCGGAUGGAGAAAUUUAAAGGGAUGGCAAAAGAGUUGAAAGGGCCCGAGUAUGAUGUGAUAACAGAGCCUCUUGACCACGCUUUGGUCAUGAUCUCUGGAGAAGGCAUGAAACAUGGCAAGGAAGCAAUUGCAGGAGGCAUGUUCCCUAGCUCCUCUCGUAGCUCUCUCCCUGAAUACAAAGCUUGGUUACAUAUCUCAAAAUCUUCUACAUAUAAACGCUCGACUCCAGCUAUGGUUGAGAUGGAGGCCCGACUGGCGGAGGAGAGGCGAGUGGCGGCAGAGGAGAGGGCGGAGGAGAGGCGAGUGGCGGCGGAGGAGAGGCGACUGGCUGAUGAGAGGACGCAGCAAGUGGUGCAGCAGGCGGUGUUGGCACAAACUAGUCAAUGCUUUGCAAUGUUUGCGGCUUAUUGUACCCAAAAUGGUAUGCCCGCUAUGUAG